CACAGGAGCCCACAAAGGCGGUUAUGAUGGGUAUAUUAAAUUCUUACAACCCUAAAUGGAAGGAAAAUAUGGUAUCAAGUUGGUAGGCACGGUGAACUGGUUUUUCCCUUAGAAGGCUUCAUCAGCCGAUAUUCCUCCGUACGGCCCUCAAGCUCGGUUAAGAAGAACUUAGUAUCGCCGCGGUGAGUUGUAAAGCCGGCGACUGUUAAUUUCUUCACAUCACUUUUUAGGUUAUAGGAUAGCAGCAUACAGAAUGUUCAUGAGAUCGGGCUUUCUUCCUUUGCUCAUGAUCGGUUUCCUUUCGAGCCUCUUUUUUGCCACUUAUUUGAUAAUUAAGGAGAAGAAAAUCUCGCCAUUGGGAAGACGCUUGGUGCAGGUACUGGAGACGGUGACGUUCACAGAAAAUGAGGAAGCGCCCUCACUUUCCUAUGCAGAGAAGUUUCUUAAAGCCUACGAUGAAGUGGAGACCUUUGUGAUGUUCAUUGGUUAUCCUCGCAGCAGCCAUAGUUUGGUUGGCGCCAUCUUGGAUGCUCACCCUGAAAUAAUUAUUCCACACGAGUUUAAUCUGUUGGAUAAAUGGAGAAGAUACAAUCUUCCAGCGUUCAAAAGGAAAAACCUACUAAAAUAUAAGUUAUAUUUUGAUCUUCACCAGACCUCUCUCAAGCAAGCCAUCUUUGGAAUACGGGCAAGCCGAAAUAGAACAGUUCUUGGCGGGGAAUUUACAUACUUAUACAAUGUUCCAGAUUUAUGGCAAGGUGGAUACAAAAACGGGAUCAAGGUGAUAGGAGACAAAAAAGGGGGACGAACUUCGCAGCUUAUAAGUAAAGACCCAAACAGUAUCAAACAGUUAGAAGAAAUCGCUAAAAACGUGGGAGUGCCAAUGAAAUUCAUACACAUUGUCAGGAACCCAUUUGAUAACAUCGCUACCAUGGUACUUCGCAGAGCAGGCGAGCGUGAUAAUGUUAGGGAAGAAGGAGCAAAAGUGAACAGCCCAGUGAUUUUGGAGAAGUUGAUAAAGAUCUACUUCAACCUUACACAGGCUAACCAGCGCGUCAGAGAACGGUUUGGGGAUGCAGUUAUCGAUAUUCCAGGACAUGAAACAAUACUCAGACCGAAAAAAACACUACAAAAAUUGUGUGAUCAUUUAGGUGUGACAUGUACAGAGGACUACGUAGAAAAAUGCAGUAAGAUCUUGUAUGGAUCUCCUUCUGUCACAAGAGAUAAAAUUGUUUGGACUGAAGAACAAAAACAGCGGGUCACCGAGCUGAUGAAAAAAUAUUUGUUUCUAAGAGACUUUUCGUUUGACGAUUUCCUAUCUUAAACUCACAGGUAGCAGCCGCAGAAUAAUUUUCAAGUUUGCGUUUAAAAUUAGGUUUCAUUGGGCUUGCAUUUCUACUCCCUGUGAUUUUACUAGAAAAACGUUACUAAUCAGCCAAGCACAUGCGUUUUUCCGACAAGUUAACCAAUCAGAUUUAUUUAUCUAUGUAUCGCCGUACCAAAGGCACUGGAGGAUUUCCCAGUCCUCCCAUCCUCUCCCAUUGCCUCUUGAGCCUUAAUCUGACAGUUGGCUGCUAACCUUUUCUUUUCCAUGUUGUGAUCGUUCUGAACAAUACAGUGACUCCUCAGUUAACAGUUGGCUUAAAAACAAGCUACACGAUGUUUUAAGUCAUUUAAUGAACGCCUAACUACCUCAUUUUGAAGGAAGCUUUGAAAUAUAUGUUCGUUACGAUAUAACAACGCAAAAUAAGCAACAGUGGACGAAGAAGGUGUAUGGUUAUUUAACCCCUUAACUCCCAAGAUCUGAUUGUGAAUUCUUCCAUUAAGAUAUAACACUUUUCCUUAUGAAUUAGUUACGAGAACUUGGUGCUAGAUCAGGAUAACAACUUCUACCUGCGCCAAUCCAACGCGCACCAGUCCACACCGUGCCAAUUCACUGCAAGCCAAUCCAUAGCGAGCCAAUCCAAACCGAGGCUAUUAGUGAUCAAAGCCCAGACCCUUUCUAUAACAUUCUCGAGUAACUCCCAGACACCGACGAUUGUGACGACACGACUGAAUGCCGUUGCAGGGAGGUGUGAAGAAUAUACAACAAUACCACCUACCUAUUAUUUCUAAUAAUGCCGUUUAGUUUAUCGUCAUUCGAAUAUAUUAUCCCAGGGUACGGCACAUUUCAAUCAACAAGUCUGUCGUAAUUUUUUUUAGUGAUUUUUGCAGGUACACUUUAAUUUGAAAGCCUCAGAGGUCCACUAAGGACAUACUAGAUGUAUCCUCCAAUAUGUUUAAAAAGCUUAAUUUACUAGAAGUAAGUCUGGACCAUUCUUAAACAUGUAAGCAAAGUUCUCUAUGCGUCAUCGGGGAAAUAACAGGCAUUUUUUCCUUGUUUUACAU